UACGUAGGGUGCGAGCGUUGUCCGGAAUUAUUGGGCGUAAAGAGCUUGUAGGCGGUUUGUCGCGUCUGCUGUGAAAAUCCGGGGCUCAACCCCGGACUUGCAGUGGGUACGGGCAGACUAGAGUGUGGUAGGGGAGACUGGAAUUCCUGGUGUAGCGGUGAAAUGCGCAGAUAUCAGGAGGAACACCGAUGGCGAAGGCAGGUCUCUGGGCCAAAACUGACGCUGAGGAGCGAAAGCGUGGGGAGCGAACAGG
rnacentral:rRNA from 1 species